rnacentral:rRNA from 1 species
AUUGAACGCUGGCGGCAGGCCUAACACAUGCAAGUCGGACGGUAGCACAGAGGAGCUUGCUCCUCGGGUGACGAGUGGCGGACGGGUGAGUAAUGUCUGGGGAUCUGCCCGAUAGAGGGGGAUAACCACUGGAAACGGUGGCUAAUACCGCAUAACGUCGCAAGACCAAAGAGGGGGACCUUCGGGCCUCUCACUAUCGGAUGAACCCAGAUGGGAUUAGCUAGUAGGCGGGGUAAUGGCCCACCUAGGCGACGAUCCCUAGCUGGUCUGAGAGGAUGACCAGCCGGACUGGAACUGAGACACGGUCCAGACUCCGACGGGGGGCAGCAGUGGGGAAUAUUGCACAAUGGGCGCAAGCCUGAUGCAGCCAUGCCGCGUGUAUGAAGAAGGCCUUCGGGUUGUAAAGUACUUUCAGCGGGGAGGAAGGCGAUGUGGUUAAUAACCUUGUCGAUUGACGUUACCCGCAGAAGAAGCACCGGCUAACUCCGUGCCAGCAGCCGCCGUAA